rnacentral:rRNA from 1 species
UGGGAAUAUUGGACAAUGGGCGCAAGCCUGAUCCAGCCAUGCCGCGUGAGUGAUGAAGGCCCUAGGGUUGUAAAGCUCUUUCACCGGUGAAGAUAAUGACGGUAACCGGAGAAGAAGCCCCGCUAACUUCGUGCCAGCAGCCGCGGUAAUACGAAGGGGGCGUAGCGUUGUUCGGAUUUACUGGGCGUAAAGCGCACGUAGGCGGACUAUUAAGUCAGGGGUGAAAUCCCGGGGGCUCAACCCCGGAACUGCCUUUGAUACUGGUAGUCUUGAGUUCGAGAGAGGUGAGUGGAAUUCCGAGUGUAGAGGUGAAAUUUCGUAGAUAUUCGGAGGAACACCAGUGGCGAAGGCGGCUCACUGGCUCGAUACUGACGCUGAGGUGC